rnacentral:rRNA from 1 species
AACAAACGCUGGCGGCAUGCCUAACACAUGCAAGUCGAACGAGAAAGUUUCCUUCGGGAAGCGAGUAAAGUGGCGCACGGGUGAGUAACACGUAAGAAUCUGCCCUUGGGAUCGGGAUAACAUUCUGAAAAGAGUGCUAAUACCGGAUAAUGUCUACGGACCAAAGGAGGCGUAAGCCUUCACCUGAGGAGGAGCUUGCGUCCCAUUAGCUUGUUGGCGGGGUAAUGGCCCACCAAGGCAAUGAUGGGUAGCCGGCCUGAGAGGGUGUACGGCCACACUGGCACUGAGAUACGGGCCAGACUCCUACGGGAGGCAGCAGUGGGGAAUAUUGGGCAAUGGGCGAAAGCCUGACCCAGCAAUGCCGUGUGAGCGAUGAAGUUCUUCGGAAUGUAAAGCUCUUUUAUGAGGAAAGAAAGCUUAUGGGGUAAUAUCCCAUCUGCCUGACGGUACCUCAUGAAUAAGCCCCGGCUAACUCCGUGCCAGCAGCCGCGGUAAUACGGAGGGGGCGAGCGUUGUUCGGAAUCACUGGGCGUAAAGGGCGCGUAGGCGGUCAUGUAUGUCAGGUGUGAAAUCCCUAGGCUUAACUUAGGAAUUGCGCUUGAAACUGCAUGGCUAGAGGCUGGGAGAGGAAAGUGGAAUUCCUGGUGUAGCGGUGAAAUGCGUAGAUAUCAGGAGGAACACCGGUGGCGAAAGCGGCUUUCUGGACCAGUUCUGACGCUGAGGCGCGAAAGCGUGGGGAGCAAACGGGAUUAGAUACCCCGGUAGUCCACGCUGUAAACGAUGAGCACUAGGUGUAGCGGGUAUCGACCCCUGCUGUGCCGCAGUUAACGCAUUAAGUGCUCCGCCUGGGGAGUACGGUCGCAAGACUG